rnacentral:sRNA from 1 species
GCCGCAGAAACCAGACUGGGGGCGAGCUGAGCACCUGUAGUCAAUCACACGCAGGAAAAACCAGCUCUCACACCUGCUCCUCUGUAAAGCGUCUUCCCCAAGCCCACACAUAAUUUUGUUGCUGUCCUUGAAAGUAUUUCCCAAGAUCUCCAAACCGCUUUAAACUUCCAAGGUCUGAGCCUUACCUGGCCUCACUAACAAAGGCUUCCACUGAUGCUGACUCUAAGAAGAAAGUUUUCAAGUUUCUUCGUAUUUGAACUUUCUAUGGCUAGGCUUGUGUUUAAAAUAACCACACUGGUUUAAACAUGGUCUUACAGUCUUCAGUGGCUCCCAGGUCUUGCCUCUCAGGUUUUUUUUCCUCUUUCCUUUGAAUGUGCCUUAACCUUCAUCUUGCUUUUAUUUACCUCUGAGUCUGGUUUAGAGCUACCUGGAAAUUGAAUGGAAUCUUUAGUCUAUUAGUCUAAUCUAGAGUCCUUACCUUCUGGCCUUUGCUCAUUGCAGAGCACCCACAUUAUUAGUCAGUUGUACCACAGAUACUGUGUUACGUAAGGUGAGGAGAGGGAGGUGGUGUUAUCAGUUCCACUUUUUCCAGGCUAGAGUGCAGUGUCCCAAUCUCAGCGCACUGCAACCUCUGCUUCCCGGGUUCAAGCGAUUUUCCUGCCUCAGCCUCUCAUUUUAUCUUGGAUAAAAGAGAAGCUUUGAAAGAUUGCCUCCCUAUGUGCACAGUCACUGUAGGCAUAUAUUUGUGUACUGUUUACUUAGUUAUGUCAAUGAGGGCAAUAAAAAA